AGGGACAAAGGAAACCGCAGACACGAGGAGUCAAAAAAGUGUCCCCGAGAGAGAGGCGCCCAGGCCAGGGAUGCAAAGAGCCAGCCCAGCCCGGAGGAAGCAGCGAAGGGAGCUGCAGAUCUCAAAGCUUCUCACAAGGGAAGGCGAGCGUCAUUAUCCCCAGUGUAAAGGACAUGACUUGUCCGUGAUCAUACAGCAGAUCGGUGGCUGAGCCAGGAGUAGAAACCCGAUCUCCUGAGUCCCAGACCAGCAUCCUAGACCAUGCUACCCCCCAACUGCCUCUGCAGCUCUGGUACUGAUGCUGUACUUGUAGUGAGGUCUCUGUGGCGCAAUGGACGAGCGCGCUGGACUUCUAAUCCAGAGGUUCCGGGUUCGAGUCCCGGCAGAGAUGAUCUCCAGGCAGGUGUCUUUUAUUUUGCACUCACUCAGUUACUGGCCAACCCAGCCUGGGGGCAGGAUGUGGAGCUGCACAAAACUGCAUCUGGGGUUUGCAGUGUGACCAGCCUCCCAGAGAGUUAUCAAGACAGCUUCCACCUGGUUUAGGUGGUCCUCCCAGUGACUACUGCAGAUUACUAUGUCGUCCAGGGCCUGUCCAGCAGGUGACCUCGUAUGUCCCCUGCCAGCAAGCCAUCAGCUUCGACUCGGCUGAAGGGAGCAAGACAAGGACUCGGUCCCCCGGCUCGAAGAUCCGCUCUCGCAAAUAGCGAUUGUACUCUUGUGCUUGGGCCUUUUGGGCGACUUGGAGGUACUCCUAGGCAAGGAUCCCAGCCUGGGCAAGGCGCUCUUGGAGCUUAAACACAUACUGAAGCAACCCUUCAGCACGGGACAGGGUCUGUUCCCAUGUCUCCCACAUGAGAUCCAUCAGGCCUUGAGGCCGGAGGCUGUAUAGGAGCUCGAAAGGCGAAAAUUUGGUGGAUGCCUGUGGCAGCUCCCGAAUAGCAAGCAGCAGGUGGGGAGUGAGCUGAUCCCAGUGGCAGAGCUCCUCAGGGGGGAAUUUCCGAAGCAUAUUCUUUAGUGCCCGGUUAAACUGUUCCACCAACCCCUCUGUUUGCAGGUGGUAGACGGAAGUCUGGAGCUUUUUGAUCCCCAGAAGAGCACACACCUCCCGGAGGAGCCAGGAGGUAAAGUUCAUCCCCUGAUCGGAGAGUAAUUCCUGGGGCAGGCCCACUCAGGCAAAGAUUUUGAUAAGCUCUGCUGCUACAGUACGGGCUGUGGCAUUUCUCAGCGGGUUGGCCUCAGGAACCUGGGUGGCAUAGUCCAGGACUACCAGGAUAUACCGGAAUCCGGCAGCGCUCUUAACCAGAGGCCCCACCAAGUCCAUGGCUACCCUUUCAAAAGGGGUUCCCACCAGCAGGAGAGGGACCUCGCUCGCAUUCUGGGCAGGAGGUGCAGUGGUCCUUAGUGUCACAGUGUACACCUGGCCAAAAGAAAUGAGACAGAACCCGGGCCAGCGUCUUCUCCAGUCCGAGGUGGCCGGUCACCAGGACAUCGUGCACCAGCCUUAACAUGGCUCAUCUAUGGCAUCAAGGGAUCAGCAGCUGGGACCGGGGCUUUCAGAUCCUGGGGUCCAGCUCGACUCGGUACAGACGAUCCCGAGUGAGCUCAAACCAAGGCCACUGAUUGGCCCUCUGUGCAUCUACCAUGACCACAUCCAUGCAGGACAGCUGCUCAUAGGCAUGCUUCAGUGUGGAGUCAUCCCUUUGAUGCUGGCAAAAGUCUGUUGCCAUGUCUAGCCAGAUAUCUGCCCCGUUGGGAGGGAUUGGUGUGGCAUUGUCCCUGGCAGUCUGAUCCUCUGGUGGACCGAGGCCCAGUUCCCCUAACUCCAUCUCCAUGUUGUCAGGGUGUCCCCCUCUGUCAUAAAUAUAAAGGGAAGGGUAAACCCUUUAAAAUCCCUUCUGGCCAGAGGAAAAAUCCUCUCACCUGUAAAGGGUUAAGAAGCUAAAGGUAACCUCGCUGGC